UUCUUUUGGAAUUCUUCAGUC
rnacentral:piRNA from 1 species